CUUGGUCAUUUAGAGGAAGUAAAAGUCGUAACAAGGUUUCCGUAGGUGAACCUGCGGAAGGAUCAUUACAGAGUUCAUGCCCUUACGGGUAGAUCUCCCACCCUUGAAUAUUAUACCUUCGUUGCUUUGGCAGGCCGUGGAAACACCAUGGGCCCCGGCUUAUGCGUGCCUGCCAGAGGAAACAAACUCUGUUUUUAGUGAUGUCUGAGUACUAUAUAAUAGUUAAAACUUUCAACAACGGAUCUCUUGGUUCUGGCAUCGAUGAAGAACGCAGCGAAAUGCGAUAAGUAAUGUGAAUUGCAGAAUUCAGUGAAUCAUCGAAUCUUUGAACGCACAUUGCGCCCCGUGGUAUUCCGCGGGGCAUGCCUGUUCGAGCGUCAUUUCAACCCAUCAAGCUUCUGCUUGGUCCUGGGGCCUGCGGUUUCGCAGCCUCUAAACUCAGUGGCGGUGCUAUUGAGCUCUGAGCGUAGUAAUUUUUUCUCGCUAUAGGGUCUCGGUGGUUACUUGCCAGCAACCCCCAAUUUUUAUCAGGUUGACCUCGGAUCAGGUAGGGAUACCCGCUGAACUUAAGCAUAUCAAUAAGCGGAGGA
rnacentral:rRNA from 1 species